rfam:complete chromosome Acholeplasma brassicae.
AUUAAAUCAAAGAUAAAAGAAGUAGUAAAUCUAUGUAAUUGAAGUGCCAAGAGAACAUACGGUUGGUGAGAGUAUGAGACUUCAAUGGAUUGAAUUCAUCUUUUUAGAGGUGUUAAUCACACCCGCAGACGCUGCGUUAAAGCAUUCAAGUGCUAAGUAAUCAUACUUAGAACUAAGGUGGUACCGCGAUUAGUCGUCCUUAGA